UACGAAGGGGGCUAGCGUUGUUCGGAAUUAUUGGGCGUAAAGGGCGCGUAGGCGGCUUUUCAAGUGACGGGUGAAAUCCCUCGGCUUAACCGAGGAACUGCCUGUCAGACUGGAAGGCUUGAGACCGGGAGAGGUGAGUGGAAUUCCCAGUGUAGCGGUGAAAUGCGUAGAUAUUGGGAGGAACACCAGUGGCGAAGGCGGCUCACUGGACCGGAACUGACGCUGAGGCGCGAAAGCGUGGGGAGCAAACAGG
rnacentral:rRNA from 1 species